AGAGUUUGAUCAUGGCUCAGAAUGAACGCUGGCGGCGUGCCUAACACAUGCAAGUCGGAUGUGCCCGCAAGGGAGCAUGGCAGACGGGUGAGUAACGCGUAGGGAACCUACCUUUUUGUGGGGGAUAACGUUCCGAAAGGAAUGGUAAUACCGCAUGAGACCAUGGGCUGGAAUGUUCAUGGUGAAAGCCGGGGAUCGAAAGACCUGGCGCAAGAAGAGGGUCCUGCGUCUGAUUAGCUAGUUGGCGGGGUAACGGCCCACCAAGGCAACGAUCAGUAGCCGGCCUGAGAGGGUGAUCGGCCACACUGGAACUGAGACACGGUCCAGACUCCUACGGGAGGCAGCAGUGGGGAAUUUUGCGCAAUGGGCGAAAGCCUGACGCAGCAACGCCGCGUGGGUGAUGAAGGUCUUCGGAUCGUAAAACCCUGUCGUCGGGGACGAAGGUAAUUCGGUUAACAACUGAGUUGCUUGACGGUACCCGGAGAGGAAGCCCCGGCUAACUCUGUGCCAGCAGCCGCGGUAAUACAGAGGGGGCAAGCGUUAUUCGGAAUUAUUGGGCGUAAAGGGCGCGUAGGCGGUUUUUUAAGUCAGAUGUGUAAUCCCCGAGCUCAACUUGGGAACUGCAUCUGAGACUGGAAGGCUAGAGUACUGGAGAGGGUGGUAGAAUUCCACGUGUAGCGGUGAAAUGCGUAGAGAUGUGGAGGAAUACCAGUGGCGAAGGCGGCCACCUGGACAGUAACUGACGCUGANGCGCGAAAGUGUGGGUAGCAAACAGGAUUAGAUACCCUGGUAGUCCACGCUGUAAACGAUGAACACUUGGUGUGGUGGGAGUUGACCCCUGCCGUGCCGGAGCUAACGCGUUAAGUGUUCCGCCUGGGGAGUACGGUCGCAAGGCUGAACUCAAAGGAAUUGACGGGGGCCCGCACAAGCGGUGGAGCAUGUGGUUUAAUUCGAUGCACGCGAAAACNUACUCNCUUGACAUGUACGNNNCCGCNNAGGACGCGAUGNGCUCGAAAGANACNUGGANNNCAGUGCUGCAUG
rnacentral:rRNA from 1 species